rnacentral:lncRNA from 13 species
GAGCCCAUGCCUGAAGAAAAGGAAUAAAAAUAAAGAAAAUAUAAGGAACCAUAAUAUAUUUUAAUGAAAGAGAGGUUACUUAUCACUCAAAAUCCUGAAUCUCUAUUUUUAGAAAUCUGAGUGCUAGCUGCUUGAGUCCUCAAAACCCCCACUACACACAGAGUCUAGCAUUUAAAAAUGAAAUACUUGCAAAGAAACAGCAAGAAAAUAUGAACAUGAUUUUUAGUAUGGUUCCCAAGCUGUAAUUGGACCUUAGUAUGAAAUGGAGCCUGGCUGUGUUACAGACACAGACACACCAGCCAGGUGCUACUGCUCAGUAUCUGACCCUCAUCUCAUGCUGAACAGAGUUGAAAGGAUUUAUUUGUGA